rnacentral:rRNA from 1 species
UACAGAGGUCUCAAGCGUUGUUCGGAUUCAUUGGGCGUAAAGGGUGCGUAGGCGGCGCGGUAAGUCGGGUGUGAAAUCUCGGAGCUUAACUCCGAAACUGCAUUCGAUACUGCCGUGCUUGAGGACUGGAGAGGAGACUGGAAUUUACGGUGUAGCGGUGAAAUGCGUAGAUAUCGUAAGGAAGACCAGUGGCGAAGGCGGGUCUCUGGACAGUUCCUGACGCUGAGGCCCGAAGGUCAGUGGAGCAAACGGG